rnacentral:tRNA from 1 species
GAGGGUAUAGCUCAAGUGGUAGAGCACAUGCUUAGUAUGCAUGAGGGCCUGGGUUCAAUCUCCAGUACCUCCA